rnacentral:rRNA from 1 species
UGGGGAAUAUUGGACAAUGGGCGGAAGCCUGAUCCAGCCAUGCCGCGUGUGUGAAGAAGGCCUUUUGGUUGUAAAGCACUUUAAGCGAGGAGGAGGCUACUUGGAUUAAUACUCUAGGAUAGUGGACGUUACUCGCAGAAUAAGCACCGGCUAACUCUGUGCCAGCAGCCGCGGUAAUACUGAGGGUGCGAGCGUUAAUCGGAUUUACUGGGCGUAAAGCGUGCGUAGGCGGCUUCUUAAGUCGGAUGUGAAAUCCCUGAGCUUAACUUGGGAAUUGCAUUCGAUACUGGGAAGCUAGAGUAUGGGAGAGGAUGGUAGAAUUCCAGGUGUAGCGGUGAAAUGCGUAGAGAUCUGGAGGAAUACCGAUGGCGAAGGCAGCCAUCUGGCGUAAUACUGACGCUGAGGUACGAAAGCAUGGGGAGCAAACAGG